rnacentral:rRNA from 1 species
AGAGUUUGAUCAUGGCUCAGAGCGAACGCUGGCGGCGUGCUUAACACAUGCAAGUCGAGUGCGCGCCCGUAGCAAUACGGGUGGCGCACGGCGCACGGGUGCGUAACACGUGGGCAACCUGCCCUUUGGAUGGGGGAUACCCCCGCGAAAGCGGGACUAAUACCGCAUGAUAUUCAGAAGACCUCGGUCUUUUGACUCAAAGCCCGCAAGGGCGUCUAAGGAGGGGCCCGCGCCCGAUUAGCUAGUUGGUGAGGUAACGGCUCACCAAGGCUUUGAUCGGUAGCCGGUCUGAGAGGAUGGCCGGCCACACUGGAACUGAGACACGGUCCAGACUCCUACGGGAGGCAGCAGUGGGGAAUAUUGCGCAAUGGGCGAAAGCCUGACGCAGCGACGCCGCGUGGGGGAUGAAGCUUCUCGGAGUGUAAACCCCUUUCGACCCGGACGAAUGACCCGCAAGGGUUUGACGGUACGGGUAUAAGAAGCCCCGGCUAACUACGUGCCAGCAGCCGCGGUAAUACGUAGGGGGCCAGCGUUGCUCGGAAUUACUGGGCGUAAAGGGUUCGUAGGUGGUGCGGCAAGUCGGGAGUGAAAUCUCUGGGCUUAACUCAGAGGCUGCUUUCGAAACUGCCGUGCUCGAGUGCGAGAGAGGUCAGUGGAAUUGCAGGUGUAGCGGUGAAAUGCGUAGAUAUCUGCAGGAACACCCGUGGCGAAGGCGGCUGACUGGAUCGCAACUGACACUGAGGAACGAAAGCUAGGGGGGCAAACAGGAUUAGAUACCCUGGUAGUCCUAGCCCUAAACCAUCAGAACUUGGGGUGGCCCGCGUAGGCGGGUCGUCCCGUAGCUAACGCGUUAAGUUCUGCGCCUGGGGAGUACGGUCGCAAGACUGAAACUCAAAGGAAUUGACGGGGCCCGCACAAGCGGUGGAACAUGUGGUUCAAUUCGACGCAACGCGAAGAACCUU